UACGUAGGGGGCAAGCGUUGUCCGGAAUCAUUGGGCGUAAAGAGCGUGUAGGCGGCCCGAUAAGUCCGCUGUGAAAGUCCAGGGCUCAACCCUGGAAUGCCAGUGGAAACUGUCGGGCUGGAGUCCGGAAGAGGCGAGAGGAAUUCCUGGUGUAGCGGUGAAAUGCGCAGAUAUCAGGAUGAACACCAAUGGCGAAGGCAGCUCGCUGGGACGGUACUGACGCUGAGACGCGAAAGCGUGGGGAGCAAACAGG
rnacentral:rRNA from 1 species